GUGAGGAAUAUUGGUCAAUGGGCGGGAGCCUGAACCAGCCAAGUCGCGUGAAGGAAGAAGGAUCUAUGGUUCGUAAACUUCUUUUGCAGGGGAAUAAAGUGCAGGACGUGUCCUGAUUUGUAUGUACCCUGAGAAUAAGGAUCGGCUAACUCCGUGCCAGCAGCCGCGGUAAUACGGAGGAUCCGAGCGUUAUCCGGAUUUAUUGGGUUUAAAGGGUGCGUAGGUGGUUUGAUAAGUCAGCGGUGAAAGUUUGCAGCUUAACUGUAAAAAUGCCGUUGAAACUGUCGGACUUGAGUGUAAAUGAGGUAGGCGGAAUGCGUGGUGUAGCGGUGAAAUGCAUAGAUAUCACGCAGAACUCCGAUUGCGAAGGCAGCUUACUAAGCUACAACUGACACUGAAGCACGAAAGCGUGGGGAUCAAACAGGAUUAGAUACCCGAGUAGUCC
rnacentral:rRNA from 1 species